CUGGACAACAUGGCGCCGGUGAG
rnacentral:piRNA from 1 species